GGCUCGUUAGCUCAGCUGGUUAGAGCUUGGUGCUGAUAACGCCAAGGUCGGGGGUUCGUUCCCCCCGUACAGGCCA